GCCAUACCACCCUGAACACGCCCAAUCUUGUAUGAUCUCAGAAGCUAAGCAGGGUUGGGCCUGGUUAGUACUUGGAUGGGAGAGCCUGUACAAAAUAAA
rnacentral:rRNA from 1 species